CUGAUUAUUCGCACCAUUCUCCGAAUGGUGGGUUAGCGCGUACUUGCUCGAUAACGAAAACCCGCCGCCGAGGCGGGUUUU
rnacentral:sRNA from 1 species